UCCCUAGUGGCUCAGUUGGUAAAGAAUCUGCUUGCAAUGCAGGAGACCCAGGUUUGACCCCUGGGUCAGGAA
rnacentral:tRNA from 1 species